rnacentral:rRNA from 1 species
AGCGGCGGACGGGUGAGUAGCGCGUGGGUAACCUGCCUCAUACAGGGGGAUAACAGUUAGAAAUGACUGCUAAUACCGCAUAAGACCACGGUACCGCAUGGUACAGUGGUAAAAACUCCGGUGGUAUGAGAUGGACCCGCGUCUGAUUAGGUAGUUGGUGGGGUAACGGCCUACCAAGCCGACGAUCAGUAGCCGACCUGAGAGGGUGACCGGCCACAUUGGGACUGAGACACGGCCCAG